rnacentral:rRNA from 1 species
CAAAUGAAUUGACGGGGGCCCGCACAAGCGGUGGAGCAUGUGGUUUAAUUCGAUGCAACGCGAAGAACCUUACCUGGUCUUGACAUCCACAGAACUUUCCAGAGAUGGAUUGGUGCCUUCGGGAACUGUGAGACAGGUGCUGCAUGGCUGUCGUCAGCUCGUGUUGUGAAAUGUUGGGUUAAGUCCCGCAACGAGCGCAACCCUUAUCCUUUGUUGCCAGCGGUCCGGCCGGGAACUCAAAGGAGACUGCCAGUGAUAAACUGGAGGAAGGUGGGGAUGACGUCAAGUCAUCAUGGCCCUUACGACCAGGGCUACACACGUGCUACAAUGGCGCAUACAAAGAGAAGCGACCUCGCGAGAGCAAGCGGACCUCAUAAAGUGCGUCGUAGUCCGGAUUGGAGUCUGCAACUCGACUCCAUGAAGUCGGAAUCGCUAGUAAUCGUGGAUCA